rnacentral:lncRNA from 1 species
AGGGAUAGGACUAGACAAGGGUUGAAUGGCUACCGUUUUAAUUAGUUUGUUAACAAGGAUGCUCUUGUCAUCAGGAAGGAGAGCCUCAGUUUCCCCUUCUCUUUCUGUUCCAGUUGGCAGCCACGCGUCAGAGGUUUCCCACUGCUUCUCACCUGGCCAGACUGGAGACGCAACAUCUGUAACCGAUGUCUGAGAUUCUACGAACAUAAGCCCCAGUUGUUGUCUCCUCACUCUAUGGAACCUGUUAUAGAAACCCAUUGAGGGUUCUUCCCCUUGAGAUCCUAGACUCUUAGAUACAACUUCAGACGAGGAAGAUGCUGAGCUCUAUCAAGUGUGUGCUGGUCGGCGACAGUGCUGUGGGAAAAACCUCACUGUUGGUGCGCUUCACCUCUGAGACCUUCCCCGAGGCCUACAAACCCACUGUGUAUGAGAAUACAGGUGUAGACGUCUUCAUGGAUGGCAUCCAGAUCAGCCUGGGUCUCUGGGACACUGCAGGCAAUGAUGCCUUCAGAAGCAUCCGCCCCCUGUCCUACCAGCAGGCAGAUGUGGUACUAAUGUGUUACUCGGUGGCCAACCAUAGCUCGUUCCUGAACUUGAAGAACAAAUGGAUUAGUGAGGUCAGGAGCAACCUACCCUGUACCCCGGUGCUG